UGGGGAAUAUUGCGCAAUGGGCGAAAGCCUGACGCUGCGACGCCGCGUGAGGGAUGAAGGUUUUCGGAUCGUAAACCUCUGUCAGAAGGGAAGAAACUACGUUGUGCUAAUCAGCAGCGUACUGACGGUACCUUCAAAGGAAGCACCGGCUAACUCCGUGCCAGCAGCCGCGGUAAUACGGAGGGUGCAAGCGUUAAUCGGAAUUACUGGGCGUAAAGCGCACGUAGGCUGUAGUGUAAGUCAGGGGUGAAAUCCCACGGCUCAACCGUGGAACUGCCUUUGAUACUGCACAACUUGAAUCCGGGAGAGGGUGGCGGAAUUCCAGGUGUAGGAGUGAAAUCCGUAGAUAUCUGGAGGAACAUCAGUGGCGAAGGCGGCCACCUGGACCGGUAUUGACGCUGAGGUGCGAAAGCGUGGGGAGCAAACAG
rnacentral:rRNA from 1 species